rnacentral:rRNA from 1 species
CCUACGUGAGGCAGCAGUGAGGAAUAUUGGUCAAUGGGCGGGAGCCUGAACCAGCCAAGCCGCGUGAGGGAGGAAGGCGCAGAGCGUCGCAGACCUCUUUUGCCGGGGGACAAAAGGCCGGACUAGUCCGGUCCUGAGGGUACCCGGAGAAAAAGCAUCGGCUAACUCCGUGCCAGCAGCCGCGGUAAUACGGAGGAUGCGAGCGUUAUCCGGAUUUAUUGGGUUUAAAGGGAGCGUAGGUGGAUUGUUAAGUCAGUUGUGAAAGUUUGCGGCUCAACCGUAAAAUUGCAGUUGAAACUGGCAGUCUUGAGUACAGUAGAGGUGGGCGGAAUUCGUGGUGUAGCGGUGAAAUGCUUAGAUAUCACGAAGAACUCCGAUUGCGAAGGCAGUUCACUGGACUGCAACUGACACUGAGGCUCGAAAGUGUGGGUAUCAAACAGGAUUAGAUACCCGUGUAGUC